UAAUAUAUAUAUAUAUAUAUGUGUAAGGGAUUACCCAAGAAAUAUUACACAAAUAAGAUGAGCGUGGUGUUAUUUAGGGUUAUAAUCAAGUUGUACCCUGCAAAACAUUUAGAUGACAGAUUUAGAUGUUAGUCGACGCUCAAUGUUUGUAUAUCAUACAUUUAGUGAUUGUUUUUUGCCAAAUGUAAGUUUACAAGCCAAAGUUUGGAGUUUCAAAUGUAUCUAAAACAUAAAUACUCUUUGGAUAAAGGCUGGAAGAAUAGUAACAGCCUGCAUUGCAUGUGAUAUGUGUCCGUAGUUAAGAGUUUGUGCCUUAAGAGUCCUGUUUUUUCCUUUUAUAUUAUUCAUGAUAUUGCGAUUUUUUCCAUUUUUAUUUUGUAUGCUAUUAUUUCUGCAUAUGCUUUGUAUGUUCUGUAGUUUCAAUUAGUAGUAGUAUAAAUGUAUGUUGUUGUUUAUUCACCGUUUCUGAAAUUGUGCAAAAAUAUUGUGAAAAGUGCGAUAUUUGAAUAAAAAAUAUCAAAUUGAAUAUGUGUUUUUUUUUACUAUGUCUGUGUUCACUUUACCGCCUUUCCUACCUAAUCCUGUAUAUUUCCUCACUACUAACAAAGAAUUGUCUUAUUUUAUAUCUAAUGGUUAAAAGAGGAGAGAGUGCACGUGACCUAAAAAGUGUGACGUCGCUGGGAAAAGAUGGCGGCCUCCAUCGGUGCAAUGCCGCAUCAGUAGCGCAGUAACGCGUCGUACGAUAUUCUGAAAAACCAACAGCCGGAAGGGUUUUUACGGUCCUGGCGGGAAUGGCGGCCUUUUGCGGAGGAAGCGUGCCGAGCGCCGGCGCCUCGGAGCGGGUGGAGGAGAGCGAGGAGUACGACUACCACAAGGAGAUCGCCAGGUCCUGUUACGCAGAUAUGCUACAUGACCAUGACCGGGUGAGUCGGCCUCUGCUGGAUGAAUUCAUGAAAAUGUCUCUCAUGACCCUCCUGUGUUUGCUGUUAAACGAGACCUUUGCUUGACGGGACGCCGCCUUUACGUACUCAUCGUCGUCCUGGACCUGCCCGUGUCACAAAGCACCAUCUACAAAGAUGUAGAUUCUCUCCAAAAUGAAGCUUUUCAGGAGAAAACUCGUAGGUUCAUUGUUGGUAUAAGACAUGACCUAAAGAUUCUGUGGUUAAACCGUCCGCACCCUCAUUUAUUUGCUAGUUGAAGCAAAGCAGGCAUCAUAAUGGUCUCCGCUAUGGCAAUUAAGUCCAAGCAUAGUUUAAAGCAUAUCAAGGCAUUAACAUCAAUGACAUCAAUACUAUUCUGAUAAUAGGCAUGGCAGUAUAACAAAUAACCUUUCGUUAAAUAAAAUGUGAUGCACAACCAAGUGCUGUGACCAUUUGGGUGCCUCUGCUGCGCCCAUGUUAGUGACUGAUGGCAGGUGUCACUGUGUGUGGUACCUGCUGUCUUCACUUCAUUCACAAGAAUAAACGGCUAAUUGAUGAUCUGCAGACUAGAAAACAGAAAUACAGGAGUACGGCCCAUUCACUCAGAAAAGACGGCGCU
ensembl:lncRNA